rnacentral:rRNA from 1 species
GCAGAAUGAAGGUCGGGCUGAAGACCUUACCAGACGAGCUGAGAGGAGGUGCAUGGCCGUCGCCAGCUCGUGCCGUGAGGUAAUAUUAUUACAUUCUAGGUGUAGCCCCGCUUCCUCUUUGUUAUAAUAGUAAGUUGGGACUAGGGCAAGUCAUUAUGACCCUUAUGGGCUGGGCUACGUAUGUGCUACAUUGGGAUUUACAAGACGUAGCGCAAGCUAAACGUUUAAAAUGUCCUAUGGUGCAGAUUCAGCCCUGUAACUCGGGUUGAUGAAGGAGGAAUCGCUAGUAAUCGUGCAUGAGUACGGCAUGGUGAAUUCUCCAUCAGGUUUCGUACACACCGCCCGUCACACGCUGGGAGUCGUCUGUGCCGGAAGGAAACUCUGGGGUAUACAGGUGCAGGGCGUCGUGUACUACUGGAAUUCCGCUGGUAUGGGUGGUAACUGGGGUGAAGUCGUAACAAGGUGGCCGUAGGGGAACCUGUGGCUGGA